rnacentral:tRNA from 1 species
GCUUCUGAAGGAUAGUAGCUUAUCUGUUGGUCUUAGGAACCAAAGACUCUUGGUGCAAGUCCAAGCGGAAGCU